rnacentral:rRNA from 1 species
AUUUGGGAGUGCUCGAAAGAGAACCUGCACACAGGUGCUGCAUGGCUGUCGUCAGCUCGUGUCGUGAGAUGUUGGGUUAAGUCCCGCAACGAGCGCAACCUUGCCAUUAGCUGCUACGAAAGGGCACUCUAAUGGGACUGCCGGUGACAAACCGGAGGAAGGUGGGGAUGACGUCAAGUCCUCAUCGGCCCUUAUAGGUGGGGCUACACACGUCAUACAAUGGCCGGUACAGAGGGUAGCCAACCCGCGAGGGGGAGCCAAUCCCACAAAGCCGGUCGUAGUCCGGAUCGCAGUCUGCAACUCGACUGCGUGAAGUCGGAAUCGCUAGUAAUCGCGGAUCAGCAUGUCGCGGUGAAUACGUUCCCGGGUCUU